rnacentral:rRNA from 1 species
CUACGGGCGGCUGCAGUGGGGAAUAUUGCACAAUGGGCGCAAGCCUGAUGCAGCCAUGCCGCGUGUAUGAAGAAGGCCUUCGGGUUGUAAAGUACUUUCAGCGGGGAGGAAGGGAGUAAAGUUAAUACCUUUGCUCAUUGACGUUACCCGCAGAAGAAGCACCGGCUAAUUCCGUGCCAGCAGCCGCGGUAAUACGGAGGGUGCAAGCGUUAAUCGGAAUUACUGGGCGUAAAGCGCACGCAGGCGGUUUGUUAAGUCAGAUGUGAAAUCCCCGGGCUCAACCUGGGAACUGCAUCUGAUACGGGCAAGCUUGAGUCUCGUAGAGGUGGGUAGAAUUCCAGGUGUAGCGGUGAAAUGCGUAGAGAUCCGGAGGAAUACCGGUGGCGAAGGCGGCCCCCUGGACGAAGACUGCCGCUCAGGUGCGAAAGCGUGUGGAGCAAACAGGAUUAGAUACCCUCGUAGUC